UGGGGAAUAUUGGACAAUGGGCGAAAGCCUGAUCCAGCCAUGCCGCGUGUGUGAAGAAGGUCUUCGGAUUGUAAAGCACUUUAAGUUGGGAGGAAGGGCAGUAAGCGAAUACCUUGCUGUUUUGACGUUACCGACAGAAUAAGCACCGGCUAACUCUGUGCCAGCAGCCGCGGUAAUACAGAGGGUGCAAGCGUUAAUCGGAAUUACUGGGCGUAAAGCGCGCGUAGGUGGUUCGUUAAGUUGAAUGUGAAAGCCCCGGGCUCAACCUGGGAACUGCAUCCAAAACUGGCGAGCUAGAGUAGGGCAGAGGGUGGUGGAAUUUCCUGUGUAGCGGUGAAAUGCGUAGAUAUAGGAAGGAACACCAGUGGCGAAGGCGACCACCUGGGCUCAUACUGACACUGAGGUGCGAAAGUGUGGGGAGCAAACAGG
rnacentral:rRNA from 1 species